UCAAUGCGUUAAUCCCCGUUCUUACAUGUGUGGUUAGCUUUGUUCUAUACUUCUAUUCUUACUUGGAUUUUUUGUUGUAUAAUUUGGUGGCUGCUUACAUUUGUAUGAGAAGAAGCUCUCCUCGAGGGCAAGAUCAGGAACAUGAUGGAGACAGUAAGUGCAUUGAAGUGAGUCUUGCAGUCCAUAGUGGAUGGCCAGUGUAGCAUGCCAUCCAAAGCUGUCAUCUGAUGAAGUCGGUUUGGUUAUGGGAAGCAUCUUUGUCAACCGCUAUUCAUGUGCAGAAUUAAUUGAUUUGUUCAUCAUGGAGAUAGUUUUACUGGAAGGCUGUUGGCUUCCCCACAGGUGCUAUACCUCACAAUUGUUUAUCGUAUCAUUCUCUGAGUUAUUUAUCUUUAUUUGCAUGCUCAGUUGUAAAUCCCAGUAUGCAAUCUUGCACACAAAUUCUUUGUGCUUUAAAUGGUCCACUGCUCACCUCCUUCUUUUAUUGGUUUGAGUAUUCAAGCUAUGCAUCUAGCUGAUGGGUGAUUCUGAUUUUGUUUUAAACUUUGUAUGUGUUACUUAUAGUAGCAGAGCAUAAUUAGUGACAAAUCAAAUGUUGAAUCAGGGACCUUUGUUGAUGACUUUGGAUCAUCAUUUAUUCCGAAAUGAGCUGAAUAUGGUUGCCUCCCUCCAUUCCAUGAGAAAGUUAGUUCAAUGCGUUAAUCCCUAUUCCUUGCAUGUGUGGUUAGCUUUGUUCUAUUCUUACAUUGAUGGAGACAGUAAGUACAUAGAUGUUAUCACUACUGCAAAUCUCAAACAUGUUUUGGCUUAUUCAAAGAUCACACGUAUUUCUUUCCCCAACAUCUAUUCCUAUUGCUCCAUUGACCUGAUUUUGAGUAUUUCCAGGUUAGAAAGUGAUGUUUCCAAACAAUUUAGGAUCAAUGGAAGAAAAUAUCCAAUGUGCCAGGUUAUGCGCAACUCAACAUUUGACCUUUGUUAUUUGUAGGAGCAUCUCAUCUUGAAUACUGUUUCUUAGAGCAUUGUUCUCUAGCCCUUAUUUGCUUAACUUACUACAAUGUGCUCCUAAGACACAAAUUAUUCUUGUAUGUGUGUACACUUACUUAGACACACUCCCCUACCUGAACCCUCAAUUCAUGUUGCAUCUUCUGAAUUCUUGUUUCUCUAUUGGUAUUUUUUGAGAAGUAUUUUUUCGGCAAAUGUUAACGACAGUUGAUAUCUAAGGUAAAAGUCUAGGAAGUUUUAUGUAAUAUGACAUAUAUAUCGACAAAAUGUAUAGUAGUUGUUGACACCA